UACGGGGGGGGCAAGCGUUGUUCGGAAUUACUGGGCGUAAAGGGCUCGUAGGUGGCCAAUUAAGUCAGACGUGAAAUCCCCAGGCUCAACCUAGGAACUGCGUCUGAUACUGGAUGGCUUGAAUCCGGGAGAGGGAUGCAGAAUUCCAGGUGUAGCGGUGAAAUGCGUAGAUAUCUGGAGGAAUACCGGUGGCGAAGGCGGCAUCCUGGACCGGCAUUGACGCUGAGGAGCGAAAGCCAGGGGAGCAAACGGG
rnacentral:rRNA from 1 species